rnacentral:rRNA from 1 species
GACGUAGGGCGCGAGCGUUGUCCGGAUUUAUUGGGCGUAAAGAGCUCGUAGGCGGCUUGUUGCGUCUGCCGUGAAAGCCCGUGGCUUAACUGCGGGUCUGCGGUGGAUACGGGCAGGCUAGAGGCUGGUAGGGGCAAGCGGAAUUCCUGGUGUAGCGGUGAAAUGCGCAGAUAUCAGGAGGAACACCGGUGGCGAAGGCGGCCAACUGGUCCGGAUCUGACGCUGAGGCGCGAAAGCGUGGGGAGCAAACAGG